rnacentral:rRNA from 1 species
GGAGUCUGGUCCGUGUCUCAGUACCAGUGUGGGGGACCUUCCUCUCAGAACCCCUAAGGAUCGUCGGAGCGGUGGGCCGUCACCCCGCCGCCGUCCUAAUCCUACGCAUCCCCAUCCCAUGGCGGACAAGCCUUUGCUCGCAAUCGGAUGCCGUCUUGCGAGAACAUCGGGGGUUAAUCCGACUUUCGCCGGGCUGUCCCCGACCAUGGGGCAGGUUGGAUACGCGUUACUCACCCGUGCGCCGGUCGCCAUCAAAGAUAGCAAGCUAUCUUCAUGCUGCCCCUCGACUUGCAUGUGUUAAGCCUGUAGCUAGCGUUCAUC